rnacentral:rRNA from 1 species
AUUGAACGCUGGCGGCAUGCUUUACACAUGCAAGUCGAACGGUAACAGGCCGCAAGGUGCUGACGAGUGGCGAACGGGUGAGUAAUGCAUCGGAACGUGCCCAGUCGUGGGGGAUAACGCAGCGAAAGCUGCGCUAAUACCGCAUACGAUCUAUGGAUGAAAGCGGGGGACCGUAAGGCCUCGCGCGAUUGGAGCGGCCGAUGUCAGAUUAGGUAGUUGGUGGGGUAAAGGCUCACCAAGCCAACGAUCUGUAGCUGGGCUGAGAGGACGACCAGCCACACUGGGGCUGGGACACGGCCCAGACUCCUACGGGAGGCAGCAGUGGGGAAUUUUGGACAAUGGGCGCAAGCCUGAUCCAGCAAUGCCGCGUGCAGGAAGAAGGCUUUCGGGUUGUAAACUGCUUUUGUACGGAACGAAACGGCUCUGGUUAAUACCUGGGGCUAAUGACGGUACCGUAAGAAUAAGCACCGGCUAACUACGUGCCAGCAGCCGCGGUAAGAC